UACGGGGGGAGCAAGCGUUGUUCGGAUUUACUGGGCGUAAAGGGCGCGUAGGCGGCCACUGCAAGUCAGUUGUGAAAUCUCCGGGCUUAACCCGGAAAGGUCAACUGAUACUGCAGGGCUAGAGUGCAGAAGGGGCAACUGGAAUUCUCGGUGUAGCGGUGAAAUGCGUAGAUAUCGGGAGGAACAUCCGUGGCGAAGGCGGCCACCUGGACCAGCACUGACACUGAGGCACGAAAGCGUGGGGAGCAAACAGG
rnacentral:rRNA from 1 species